rnacentral:ncRNA from 1 species
CUGUUCAGGGCGGGGCGGAAUUCCCCACCGGCGGUAAGCAGCUGUUGAGCUGCAAAGCCCGCGAACUCCCUCGUAAGAGAGAGCCGAUCCAGCGCAAAUCUGGAGCCGACGGUCAUAGUCCGGAUGAGAGAGCAG